rnacentral:rRNA from 1 species
AAUAUUGCGCUAUGGAGGAAACUCUGACGCAGCGACGCCGCGUUAUCGAUGAAUGUCCUCGCAUCGUAAAGCUCUGUCCUUGGGGAAGAAGGUCUUCGGACUUGACGGUACCCAUGGAGGAAGCCCCGGCUAACUACGUGCCAGCAGCCGCGGUAAUACGUAGGGGGCAAGCGUGGUCCGGAAUUAUUGGGCGUAAAGGGUGCGUAGGCGGCCUUUUAAGUCAGAUGUGAAAGCCCACGGCUCAACCGUGGGAUUGCAUUUGAAACUGGAGGGCUUGAGUAUCGGAGAGGGUAGUGGAAUUCCCAGUGUAGCGGUGAAAUGCGUAGAUAUUGGGAGGAACACCAGUGGCGAAGGCGACUACCUGGACGAUUACUGACGCUGAUGCACGAAAGAUAGGGGAGCAAACA